AGAGUUUGAUCAUGGCUCAGAUUGAACGCUGGCGGCAUUUACACAUGCAAGUCGAACGGGCUUGGGGGCAACUCCAAGUCAGUGGCGAACGGGUGAGUAAUGCAUCGGAACGUGUCCAGAAGUGGGGGGAUAACCCGGCGAAAGCCGGGCUAAUACCGCAUAUUCUCCACGGAGGAAAGCGGGGGAUCGCAAGACCUCGUGCUUUUGGAGCGGCCGAUGUCCGAUUAGUUUGUUGGUGGGGUAACGGCCUACCAAGGCGACGAUCGGUAGCUGGUCUGAGAGGAUGAUCAGCCACACUGGGACUGAGACACGGCCCAGACUCCUACGGGAGGCAGCAGUGGGGAAUUUUGGACAAUGGGGGAAACCCUGAUCCAGCCAUGCCGCGUGCGGGAAGAAGGCCUUCGGGUUGUAAACCGCUUUUAGCUGGGAAGAAAAGAUCACGGAUAACACCCGUGGUUCUUGACGGUACCGGCGGAAUAAGCACCGGCUAACUACGUGCCAGCAGCCGCGGUAAUACGUAGGGUGCGAGCGUUAAUCGGAAUUACUGGGCGUAAAGCGUGCGCAGGCGGUUCGUUGUGUCCGUCGUGAAAGCCCCGGGCUUAACCUGGGAACUGCGAUGGAAACUAGCGAGCUGGAGUGUGGCAGAGGGGGGUGGAAUUCCGCGUGUAGCAGUGAAAUGCGUAGAGAUGCGGAGGAACACCGAUGGCGAAGGCAGCCCCCUGGGCUAACACUGACGCUCAGGCACGAAAGCGUGGGGAGCAAACAGGAUUAGAUACCCCAGUAGUCC
rnacentral:rRNA from 1 species